rnacentral:hammerhead_ribozyme from 1 species
AUCCAGCUGACGAGUCCCAAAAAGAAAGAAAGACAUGUCCUGGAU